GAGGGUGCGAGCGUUAAUCGGAAUUACUGGGCGUAAAGCGCGCGUAGGUGGCUUGAUAAGCCGGUUGUGAAAGCCCCGGGCUCAACCUGGGAACGGCAUCCGGAACUGUCAGGCUAGAGUGCAGGAGAGGAAGGUAGAAUUCCCGGUGUAGCGGUGAAAUGCGUAGAGAUCGGGAGGAAUACCAGUGGCGAAGGGGCCUUCUGGACUGACACUGACACUGAGGUGCGAAAGCGUGGGUAGCAACAGGAUUAGAUACCCUGGUAGUCCGGCGUAAACGAUGUCGACUAGCCGUUGGGUCCUUCGCGGACUUUGUGGCGCAGUUAACGCGAUAAGUCGACCGCCUGGGGAGUACGGCCGCAAGGUUAAAACUCAAAUGAAUUGACGGGGGCCCGCACAAGCGGUGGAGCAUGUGGUUUAAUUCGAUGCAACGCGAAGAACCUUACCUACCCUUGACAUCCUCGGAAUCCGCCAGAGAUGGCGGAGUGCCUUCGGGAACCGAGAGACAGGUGCUGCAUGGCUGUCGUCAGCUCGUGUUGUGAAAUGUUGGGUUAAGUCCCGUAACGAGCGCAACCCUUGUCCCUAUUUGCCAGCGAUUCGGUCGGGAACUCUAGGGAGACUGCCGGUGACAAACCGGAGGAAGGUGGGGACGACGUCAAGUCAUCAUGGCCCUUACGGGUAGGGCUACACACGUGCUACAAUGGUCAGUACAAAGGGUUGCGAACUUGCGAGAGUGAGCCAAUCCCAGAAAGCUGAUCUCAGUCCGGAUCGGAGUCUGCAACUCGACUCCGUGAAGUCGGAAUCGCUAGUAAUCGCGAAUCAGAAUGUCACGGUGAAUACGUUCCCGGGCCUUGUACACACCGCCCGUCACACCAUGGGAGUGGACUGCACCAGAAGUGGUUAGCCUAACCUUCGGGAGGGCGAUCACCACGGUGUGGUUCAUGACUGGGGUGAAGUCGUAACAAGGUAGCCGUAGGGGAACCUGCGGCUGGAUCACCUCCU
rnacentral:rRNA from 1 species